rnacentral:snRNA from 1 species
UCGGAUUUUACCCGAUCGGAUUU